rnacentral:miRNA from 1 species
CGCGUCUGAGUGAACAACCCCCGU